CCUACGGGUGGCAGCAGUGAGGAAUAUUGGUCAAUGGGCGGAAGUCUGAACCAGCCAAGUAGCGUGCGGGAUGACUGCCCUAUGGGUUGUAAACCUCUUUUAUAUGGGGAUAAAACAUUGUAUGCAUACACUCUUGUAUGUACCAUCUGAAUAAGGAUCGGCUAACUCCGUGCCAGCAGCCGCGGUAAUACGGAGGAUCCGAGCGUUAUCCGGAUUUAUUGGGUUUAAAGGGAGCGUAGGCGGGGUGUUAAGUCAGUUGUGAAAGUUUGCGGCUCAACCGUAAAAUUGCAGUUGAAACUGGUAGUCUUGAGUACAGUAGAGGCGGGCGGAAUUCGUGGUGUAGCGGUGAAAUGCUUAGAUAUCACGAAGAACCCCGAUUGCGAAGGCAGCCCACUGGACUGCAACUGACACUGAUGCUCGAAAGUGCGGGUAUCAAACAGGAUUAGAUACCCGAGUAGUC
rnacentral:rRNA from 1 species